GGAACGAACGCUGGCGGCAUGCCUAAUACAUGCAAGUCGAACGAACACUUCGGUGUUAGUGGCGCACGGGUGCGUAACGCGUGGGAAUCUGCCCUUGGGUUCGGAAUAACAGUUGGAAACGACUGCUAAUACCGGAUGAUAUCGAAAGAUCAAAGAUUUAUCGCCCAGGGAUGAGCCCGCGUAGGAUUAGCUAGUUGGUGAGGUAAAGGCUCACCAAGGCGACGAUCCUUAGCUGGUCUGAGAGGAUGAUCAGCCACACUGGGACUGAGACACGGCCCAGACUCCUACGGGAGGCAGCAGUAGGGAAUAUUGGACAAGU
rnacentral:rRNA from 1 species